GGAAAGACAUCAGUUGUAUGUGUGAUGUUUUGAUCUUUGACUUCUGUCUACAGCUGUAUUUUGAUUAAAAUUGUUAUUAUUUAUAAGUGCACAUUUGUAGUGUUCCUUAUUUGUUAAGUAAAAAAACGGAGCACAGAAAAACAGAACCAACAAUAUCAAUCAACAAAGAGGUAUACUGUAAGGAUGUGCACUGAGUCGGGAAGCAAGUUCAGGAAGUGAGUGUUUUAAUAAAUAAACACAACAUUAUACAAAAUAAGAAACACAAACAAAGCACAGAACUGACACAGGAACAGAAAUAAUAACACCUGGGGAAGAAACCAAAGGGAGUGACAUAUAUAGGGAAGGUAAUCAGGGAGGUGAUGGAGUCCAGGUGAGUCUGAUGACGCGCUGGUGCGCGUAACGAUGGUGACAGGUGUGCGCCAUAACCAGCAGCCUGGUGACCUAGAGGCCGGAGUUGGAGCACACGUGACAAUAAAGACGAGGAGACAUACAAAGACUUCACCCUCCUUACACCUCUGAUGAAUAUAACAGGAAGCCUGUUCAAUCACCAUGCACUGAAAAAUCAUUCUGGCUAUGGAUAUGGAGAACAUCAACACAUUAACAUCAACACUGCCAGAGGAUAUACCCAUUGGACUUGGGACUCUGCUCGGAGUUCACCUGAUAUUUGGAUUUCUUAAUUCUGCUUUACCACUAAAAUCCUAAUAAAC